UACGGAGGAUGCGAGCGUUAUCCGGAUUUAUUGGGUUUAAAGGGUGCGUAGGCGGACGCUUAAGUCAGCGGUAAAAUUGCGGGGCUCAACCUCGUCGAGCCGUUGAAACUGGGUGUCUUGAGUGGGCGAGAAGUACGCGGAAUGCGUGGUGUAGCGGUGAAAUGCAUAGGUAUCACGCAGAACUCCGAUUGCGAAGGCAGCGUACCGGCGCCCAACUGACGCUGAAGCACGAAGGCGUGGGUAUCGAACAGG
rnacentral:rRNA from 1 species